rnacentral:rRNA from 1 species
UACGAGGGGGGCUAGCGUUGCUCGGAAUCACUGGGCGUAAAGGGUGCGUAGGCGGGGCUUUAAGUCAGGGGUGAAAUCCUGGAGCUCAACUCCAGAACUGCCUUUGAUACUGAGGAUCUUGAGUUCGGGAGAGGUGAGUGGAACUGCGAGUGUAGAGGUGAAAUUCGUAGAUAUUCGCAAGAACACCAGUGGCGAAGGCGGCUCACUGGCCCGAUACUGACGCUGAGGCACGAAAGCGUGGGGAGCAAACAGG